rnacentral:rRNA from 1 species
CGAACGCGUCUUGGUUAUUGAUGUUAGAUGCUUGCAUUUAACUGAUUUAACAUUGAGACGAGUGGCGAACUGGUGAGUAACACGUGGGUAACCUGCCCUUGAAGUAGGGGAUAACACUUGGAAACAGGUGCUAAUACCGUAUAACAACCAAAACCACCUGGUUUUGGUUUAAAAGAUGGCUUCGGCUAUCACUUUAGGAUGGACCCGCGGCGUAUUAGCUUGUUGGUAAGGUAACGGCCUACCAAGGCAAUGAUACGUAGCCGACCUGAGAGGGUAAUCGGCCACAUUGGGACUGAGACACGGCCCAAACUCCUACGGGAGGCAGCAGUAGGGAAUCUUCCACAAUGGACGAAAGUCUGAUGGAGCAACGCCGCGUGAGUGAUGAAGGGUUUCGGCUCGUAAAACUCUGUUGUUGGAGAAGAACAGGUGUGAGAGUAACUGUUCACAUCUUGACGGUAUCCAACCAGAAAGCCACGGCUAACUACGUGCCAGCAGCCGCGGUAAUACGUAGGUGGCAAGCGUUGUCCGGAUUUAUUGGGCGUAAAGCGAGCGCAGGCGGUUUCUUAGGUCUGAUGUGAAAGCCUUCGGCUUAACCGGAGAAGUGCAUCGGAAACCAGGAGACUUGAGUGCAGAAGAGGACAGUGGAACUCCAUGUGUAGCGGUGAAAUGCGUAGAUAUAUGGAAGAACACCAGUGGCGAAGGCGGCUGUCUGGUCUGUAACUGACGCUGAGGCUCGAAAGCAUGGGUAGCGAACAGGAUUAGAUACCCUGGUAGUCCAUGCCGUACACGAUGAGUGCUAAGUGUUGGAGGGUUUCCGCCCUUCAGUGCUGCAGCUAACG